GACGAUGGAGAAACCGACCACGUGGCCCAAACUCGACAGUUUCACGUGGAUAAGAUGGGCAGCAGCGGCUUGGCCGUCGCCGUUCAUCGGUUGCUUGCUUUGCGCCCAUCCACGCAAUCCAUCCAUGGCGGCCUUUGCUUGGGGGCUUGAUGUAACAGUUAGCGCUCGCACACAUGGGAGGCGACCCUCGAUCCGAAUUCUCCCCUCAUCCAUGAGCGCGAUCUCGUGGACCGAAUCCGCGACAACGCUGCCCUAACGCGAAACCCCCCAAACCCUACGCCGUCUCGCGGGGAGAGUUUAGCCAGCUCUCAUGGGAUUUGAUCAGAUCGGCUCGACGGCAGCCGUCGCCGUCGCCGUCGUCUGAAUCCGGCAUGCGUACGUUCAUCUAUAUGGAUUAUGAUGGAUUCACGGAUCGCUGACAUGAUGUGAUAGCUAGGUUUCAUUGGAUCGAGACCAGGGCCAUUCAGAUCUAGCGCACAGUGAUCGCUCAUCACCGAUCGGUUUGCUACAGUUUUCCUCCAUGUGUUUAAUUUAAUGGUUCAUAUAUAUAUAUAUAUAUAUAUUCAUAAAUAUUAUUACACGAUAAUACGAUAUCCACACGGCUAUGUGCAUCACGUGAUGCAGAGGUCGGGAUAAUUUUAAUUUCAUCGUAUUUAUUUAAAAAUAAUUGCUCAUAUGGUAGCUGCCGCGACAUCUGAAUAUCAAGGUCAUCUUUUUCAGUCCAACUCAUUCGCAGCCGCAAUGAGGGAGAUGUUGGGGGAAGAAACGAGACCACUGUUCAUCGGUGCAAUGCAAAGCUGUUUCGAGCGGAGGCAAUGGAGCGUGAGAAGACCAAACACCCAAUCGUUUUGUUCACCACGCAUUCGCCAUGAUUGCGAGCUUGCUUAGGGUUGUGUUUGUGAGCCACAGCAACAUGGGGUGGAAUCAUUCAUGGAUGGAUGGAUGAAACUCUGAAAGCGCAGUGGAUAUACAUGCAUUUUGGAGGGCAUCACAUGAUCAGGCAAAAUUCGGCAGGCGAUGGCGAUGCUCACUGCACCCUGCCUCUUUGCAUCCUGAGGGUCUGAGACUGUGUGAUGGCUUCACCAAAUUAAUUAUUUAAUUAGGGAUUAUGGCCUUGUCAGGUGACAGUCAGCCUGGUGAUGAUGAGCGAUUGCAGUUGUAAUUGAAUUGAGCUAAGGAGCUGGCUCCCUGAUGAGCAGUGUUGCAGUGAUGAACCAAACAGUUCUGCAGAUUGCAUCAUAGACUGAUAGCUUUCUGAUCAGAGUAAGCCUAAUAUCACCAAAUGUGGUAGAUGCAGACAGAUAUCAAGUGGGAAAUGACCUGGCUUAAGUAGGCAGGUCUAGUUAGUAUCAAUGAACAUGGUAAACAGAGAUGAUUAUUAAUAAGUGGAAGGUGACAUGAAUUAUAUUUGGAACUGUGCUGAACGAUGAGCUUUGAAUAAUAUGAAAGCUGACUGAACUUACAGCAAAUUUCAGUCAGCUAUUGCUUAUGCAAGCACAGGUUUGCAGGAAGAUCAGAAUUUUAUUUUAUUGUUUUACAAGAAUUGGACCUAGCACCUUUGAGUAUCACAUCAAGUUAUUCUUGUAAGAAAGGACGACUUCAAUCUCCAAGUCUUUGAUACAGUGUUACCAUUAUGCAUUUCCAGUACUAAUACUACAUAAGAUCUUGUCAUGAGCUGUAUACCAUCUAGCUAUCAAUUUUCAACAGCCUGUCCAUUGCUCAGACAGGACAAAUUUUACACAAGUAGUACUACAAAAUAAAUGGAUUUCUCCAGGGGAGUAAGAAACGGAGCUGACAGCGACAGGAAACCUAACUACAUAAUCAGUAAAAUUUCCAUCGUUCUUUCAAAGUUACCUGUAUAAAUUAGGCACAGGAAUAGGUAGACACCAAAGCCUGAACCUGACACUGACACUACAAAAGAAUUUCAGUGUAAUCUAGGAAAUUUAGAAGACUGGAGACCUGCUCCAGUAAAAGGAGAAUUACCAAAAUUGAAUGAAUGGACAAGGAAGUGAUGAUCUGGUGGUUUCAUUUUGCUUCAGUGUGGUUGGGAGGGAGUAGAAAAAUGUGCAGUGAAACCUUGUCAGAAUUGGAGAUGAUUCAGUUGCGGCAUGGACGACGGCAGCACGGUGAGUACCACGAAAUGAGAUCCAGGCCAGCAGGCAGCGAAGGAAAAAAAGCGAUGGCUAACCUGCCAAACUUAGGAGACAACGACGGCCGUUUUUGUUUGUGCGCAAAUCAAGACAUGAAAGAUGAAUCGAUUGGAACCAUUUGCCUAUGCAGAUGAAAUUGCCGGUGUGAGCUGGCUGAAAGGGAAAUGUGUUGGCUGUCCAUGAUUUGCAGGCUGACAUAAGUCCACUUCAGUAAUUAUGUUGUCUUGGGGAAAAACCAGUCCUGCAAUAUUCAUGGCAGCUCAAUUGCAGCAA